AUCCAGGCCGCCGGUUCUUUCCAGCAGAGGCAUGAUUUCAGUGCAUUCAGGAAGCUGCAAAACAGGGGAGCAGCGGCACUGUCAGUGCAACGGGUAUUUCUCACGAGAAAGUGGCAGGCUCUUUGUAGAAAAAGGUUUAAUUUAUGAUUGUAGCUUUUUGUGAGAUCCAGGCUUUAUUCCUUUCACUGAAGCACUUGCCUGUUCAGCAGGGCUUUUAGCACCGAAUGCCUGCAGCCUGAAAAGAACAGAUUGCAGCUCAAAAAAUCCUUUCAAUUUCCCUAACAAAUGACACCUGGGCACUAAGGCACAACAUUAUUUGGGCAUGGAAGAGACAGUCAUCUUAGGACAAGUCCAUAAUAGUUUAAUAGCCUUAAUACUUAAGAGAGAAAAUACUUCAAGCAAGCAUGAAUAAUCUGCCCUCAGCCAUGUAAAAUUUGGAUUUCAAUCUCCACUCCAGUCUUGGCAUGCUGAUGGUCAUAAGUGAGUUGCCAAACUACUUUAAAAUUUGAUUUUUCUACAGAUCUGGGAGCAAUGGGAAAUUUGAAGAUGGAGUUUGGUGAUACAGCGUCAUAGCUACCUACCUGAGACAAACACACAUUUUGAGUUUCUGCUAUGCAGUGGUACUGUAGCAAGAAGAUCUGGAUGGACCAGAGCUGGACAGCAAAGAACAUGGCAACCAAGUACAAAUCUGUUGCAGUCCAAAAAUUGAAUACCAGCAGAAAAGGAACUGCUAGGAUUAAACAGGAAACCUUGGACCACAGAGGCUGGGGAACAAAAAACAUCUAAAAGACCAGACAAGAUCCAUUGUCCUGAUCUCCCCCAGCAGGGUGUAGAGAGACUUUGCAUGAUGCUACCAGAUACCCCAUUGUUUUCUCCCUCCCUGUGUAAAUCCUUCUUUCAGGUAAAAGCUGAUAACCCUUCCACAAUGUAACCCUGCUUACUGGAAAUAUCAAAUCUUUUUUCCCAAAAUGUAAAUACUGUAUCCGAGAAAUGUAAAAUCAUUUUUCCCUUAUGUCACCCCUGUUACUGGAAAUGCUAAUAGAUUGUGGAAUCUUCUA